AGAGUUUGAUCCUGGCUCAGAAUGAACGCUGGCGGCGUGCCUAACACAUGCAAGUCGGAUGUGCCGCAAGGUGCAUGGCAGACGGGUGAGUAACGCGUAGGGAAUCUACCUUUUUGUGGGGAAUAACGCUCCGAAAGGAGUGGUAAUACCGCAUGAGACCGUGGCCUGGGAUGGUUACGGUGAAACCUGGGGACCGCAAGGCCUGGGGCAAAGAGAGGAUCCUGCGUCUGAUUAGCUAGUUGGCGGGGUAAUGGCCCACCAAGGCGACGAUCAGUAGCCGGCCUGAGAGGGUGAUCGGCCACACUGGAACUGAGACACGGUCCAGACUCCUACGGGAGGCAGCAGUGGGGAAUUUUGCGCAAUGGACGAAAGUCUGACGCAGCAACGCCGCGUGGGUGAUGAAGGUCUUCGGACUGUAAAACCCUGUCGUCAGGGACGAAGGUUGAGGGGUUAAUAACCCUUCAGCUUGACGGUACCUGGAGAGGAAGCCCCGGCUAACUCUGUGCCAGCAGCCGCGGUAAUACAGAGGGGGCAAGCGUUAUUCGGAAUUAUUGGGCGUAAAGCGCGUGUAGGCGGUCUGAUUAGUCUGAUGUGAAAGCCCCGGGCUCAACCUGGGAACUGCGUUUGAAACUACAAGGCUAGAGUGUAGCAGAGGGGGGUAGAAUUCCACGUGUAGCAGUGAAAUGCGUAGAGAUGUGGAGGAAUACCGAUGGCGAAGGCAGCCCCCUGGGUUAACACUGACGCUCAUGUACGAAAGCGUGGGGAGCAAACAGGAUUAGAUACCCUGGUAGUCC
rnacentral:rRNA from 1 species